CCUACGGGAGGCAGCAGUGGGGAAUAUUGCACAAUGGGGGGAACCCUGAUGCAGCGACGCCGCGUGGGUGAAGAAGCUCCUCGGCAUGUUAAGCCCUGUCAGCAGGGAAGAAAAUGACGGUACCUGAAGAAGAAGCCCCGGCUAACUACGUGCCAGCAGCCGCGGUAAUACGUCGGGGGGAAGCGGUAUCCGGGUUUACUGGGGGUAAAGGGGGCGUAGACGGGGAUGCAAGCCAGGAGGGAAAGCCCGGGGCCCAACCCCGGGACUGCUGUUGGAACUGCGUGGCUGGAGUGCAGGAGGGGCAGGCGGAAUGCCUGGUGUAGCGGUGAAAUGCGUAGAUAUCAGGAGGAACACCGGUGGCGAAGGCGGCCUGCUGGCCUGCAACUGACGUUGAGGCCCGAAAGCGUGGGGAGCAAACAGGAUUAGAUACCCUAGUAGUC
rnacentral:rRNA from 1 species